rnacentral:rRNA from 1 species
GACAGAGGUCCCAAGCGUUAGGCGGAAUCACUGGGCUUAAAGCGUGUGUAGGCGGACUUCUAAGUACCUUGUGAAAUCCCACGGCUCAACCGUGGAACUGCUUGGUAUACUGGUUGUCUUGGGCCAUCUAGGGGCUAGCGGAACAAACGGUGGAGCGGUGAAAUGCGUAGAUAUCGUUUGGAACGCCCAAUGGUGAAAACAGGACUAGCUGGGGAUGGUGCCGACGCUGAGACACGAAAGACCAGGGGAGCGAACGGG